rnacentral:rRNA from 1 species
CCUACGGGGGGCAGCAGUGAGGAAUAUUGGGCAAUGGAGGCAACUCUGACCCAGCCAUGCCGCGUGAGGGACGAAGGUUUUCGGAUUGUAAAGCUCUUUUGGAUGUGACGUUGAUGACGGUAGCACCUAAAGAAGCUCCGGCGAACUUCGUGCCAGCAGCCGCGGUAAUAUGCAGGGGGCACGCGUUGUACGGAUUUACUGGGCGUAAAGGGAGUGUAGGCGGUGUAGUAAGAUAGGAGUGAAAUCCCAGAGCUUAACUUUGGAAUUGCCCUUAUAACUAUUAGACUAGACUUACAGAGAGGAUAGUGGAAUACCCGGUGUAGAGGUGAAAUUCGUAGAUAUUGGGUAGAACACCAGUGGCGAAGGCGACUAUCUGGCUGUAAAUUGACGCUGAGGCUCGAAAGCAUGGGGAUCAAACAGGAUUAGAUACCCUAGUAGUC